UUUUUUUCUUUUUCUUUUCUUCUUCUUCCAGCAGCGUCGACCUCACCCCUCCCCUCUCCCCCUCUCGUUUUUCCGACCGCCUAAGACCAGCGCCUCCUCGCCGUCGACUCCUCGCCGUCGACUCCUUGCCGCAACAACCCGGCCUUCCUUUCCCUUCUCUCCGUUUCCGCUUCUGGUGGGCGCAAGAAUCACAACGAGGCUAGGACUUCAUCCCGAUCGAGAUAGCGUCUUCAUCCUUCUCUCCGAGCGAUUCCAGCGACUAUUGCCGACAAGCAAUAAAGUUGGAUAUUGGUUAAUACGCAAGUUUCUUGACGAAUAUAUAAAUGAAGGAAUUAGUUUAUAGAAAUUGAAGGGUUGAGUAAGAACCUGAUUUUUUUUUAGGAUGGCCCAAUAUUGAGUGUUCCUAUAAAUUUUUGUAACGAUUUGAUGAAAAUAAAGUUGUAUAUUAAUUCUAUAAUAAGGAAUGGAGUUAAGUAGUGUAUAAAUCAUAAGCGUAAGCGGAAAACUUGAAGAGUUCUCAUGGUGGCAGCAGCUGUGUGGCAAAUUUGUUACUAUUUGAGUUUAAGUAGGCCAAGAUUAGAUAGUUUGUCUCAAUUAAUAGUUAGUUAACUUUUCUGUAAUAAAUAGCAGAACUCUAGAAUCGUCUAAAUGGUUACCGAAUUAUUCAGCUCUCUAAAUUGUAAUAUGAUUAGAGACUGUUUAAGAUUGUAAGUUGAUGUUUAAUUUGAUGGGAACAAAGAUAUGAUAUCUAGCUAAAGAUUUUUAAUAA